GGGCGAUCUAGCGCCCGCCAGAGGCCCAUCAAAACUUUUUAUGUUAGUGUAGUCUGAGUUUACGAAUAAUCAAUCAAAACUUUCAACAACGGAUCUCUUGGUUCUGGCAUCGAUGAAGAACGCAGCGAAAUGCGAUAAGUAAUGUGAAUUGCAGAAUUCAGUGAAUCAUCGAAUCUUUGAACGCACAUUGCGCCCUUUGGUAUUCCGAAGGGCAUGCCUGUUCGAGCGUCAUUACACCCCUCAAGCAUUGCUUGGUAUUGGGCGUUCGCCCCCCGGCUCCGGGGUGCGCGCCCGAAAUUCAGUGGCGGUCCAGGUAGACUUCAAGCGCAGUAGACCUAUGUUCGCUUUGGAAGCCUUCUGCCUGCGGCCCGCCAGCGAAACCUUUGUACCCCCAAUCAUUGACCUCGGAUCAGGUAGGGAUACCCGCUGAACUUAAGCAUAUCA
rnacentral:rRNA from 1 species